ACAGACGCAGACGGCCGACGACCGCGAGCGCGCGCGAUCUGAGCGCAACGGAAAAGCCGUUGGGCAACGCCGCCGCGUAAUUAAUGUCAGUUUUCGGCCGCAAAUUCUUCCCCAAGUCGUCCAGCAAUAUUCUUAUGAUGUCGCGGUGAUUGCUGUGAAAUACGAAUCAAGUUCAACCGUCCCAGCAAACAUGCCGCAAAUCAAAGAAGAUCCGUGCCCGCGGCUUGCUUUUGUGGCAGUUGUUGCGAGCUAAGGAGGCAAGCUCGUCGAACCAGUGGCGUGGCUGGCUCAAUUGUCCGCAUUGCUCUCCUCUGGAAUUGUCUGGGAGUCUGACAACAGCAAAACAGAGCUGAGAAGCUGACGGAGGCUUCAUAUCUUCGCUGUCACCGUUCCAGUCUUGAGUCUGCUGGUGCUUCUGGACUCGGAUGGAAUCAAUGCGACUCGAGUUCGAGACGAAUAGCUACGUGUGACAGGACGGACAGGUCUUGGAAAUGCUGGACCACUACUUUGAAGAAGAUUGAGUGUGGUACUGUGUAUUGUGUUUUUAAAUGGGUCUAUUUUUGAGCUCAAUUGUUGUAGUUUAUACAUAAUUCAUUUUAAGGCUAAUUAUGUUGCAUACAUAUACUUGUAUUGACUGUAAUAAUGUUUGUAUUACAAUUAAAUCAAAUUUUCUUGCAUGAAAGUUUUGGCAGGUUCAUAUUUUAAAUUAAAGCCAUUAUAAGUUUUAAAUUCACCAUUUUUUGCAAAAGCCUCUAGUGUUCGAAGUCAGCGCAGCCAUAUAUAUGUACUUCCAAGUUUCAUACCCAUGCACUUUGGUUAAGGAUUUAAUUCUACUGAUUUAUUUUCCGGAUUUUAAAUUAUUUAUUUUGAAUCUGAAAACCAAAAUCAGUUUAGCCAAUCUCCGUAUAAACAUGUAAAUAAUAUUUGAACAAAUUUGACGUUUUUACGGUGAUUGGCUAGACUGACUUAUGUUUUUAGCACAUCAAAUCAAAUCAAUUAAAGGGUUUUAAACGCAGAGUGGCAUGAUCGUGUCUUUAUUCUCAGUGGAAGUGCAUUAAAAUCAAAGUAGCAGUUGGCGCCAGACAGCCACUAAGGGGUUUUUGAAACUGUUGAAUGUUCAACAAUUUUAGCUUUUUUAAAUUGAUUGUCAUCUCUUGUUCCUCAUCACCUUAUGGCAACAACCAACAACUGUAAAUUGAUAAAAUUAUCUGUAUCGAUCGAUUGUUAAUGUGUAUUUAUGUAAUAUUUUUGUAAAAGAAAUAGUAUAAAUAAAUAACAAUUUUAAAAUUCAAA